ensembl:snRNA U1 U1 spliceosomal RNA
GCACUUAACCUGGUAGGAGAGAUACCAUGAUCACAAAGGUGGUUUUCCCAGGGCGAGGUUCAUCUGCUGCCCUGCUGGUAUGCUGAACCCUAUGAGUUCCCCAAAUGUGGGAAUCUUGACUGCAUAAUUUGGGGUAAUGGGUGACGGCGUUCGUGCAAUCCCCUG